rnacentral:rRNA from 1 species
UACGUAUGGGGCAAGCGUUAUCCGGAUUUACUGGGUGUAAAGGGAGCGUAGGCGGUAUGGCAAGUCAGAAGUGAAAGCCUGGGGCUCAACCCCGGAAUCGCUUUUGAAACUGUCAAACUAGAGUGUCGGAGGGGUAAGCGGAAUUCCUAGUGUAGCGGUGAAAUGCGUAGAUAUUAGGAGGAACACCGGUGGCGAAGGCGGCUUACUGGACGACCACUGACGCUGAGGCUCGAAAGCGUGGGGAGCAAACAGG